GAUGAACGCUAGCGGCAGGCUUAAUACAUGCAAGUCGAGGGGCAGCAGCUCUGUAGCAAUACAGAGGCUGGCGACCGGCAAACGGGUGCGGAACACGUACGCAACUUACCCAUAACUGGUGAAUAGCCCUCCGAAAGGAGGAUUAAUACAUCGUAACAUAAUGAGAUGGCAUCAUUUUAUUAUUAUAGCUCUCGGGCGGUUAUGGAGUGGGCGUGCGGCUGAUAGGUAGUUGGCGAGUAAUAGCCCACCAAGCCAACGAUCAGUAACUGGUGUGAGAGCACGACCAGUCACACGGGCACUGAGACAC
rnacentral:rRNA from 1 species